UAGUUUUUUCUUUGUCUUCAGAGCUAACGACUCAACAAAAAAACCAGUUCGACCAGCGUGACCAAUAUACUCUUUAACUCACUUUUGUCUCUCCCUUUGUAAUAAUAAAACACAAAAUCACAAACACAAGAGAGCAAAAGUAAAAAAAAAUGGCAGAAGAAUCUAUCACCACCACCACUCUCGCUACACCGGAGAAUCAACCAUCAUCGGGGCUAACACCUCCACAAGAAUCAAAUUCUACUCAUCAAGUCUUGGCGACUGAGACUGAAACUCUAGAGCAAGCUACCGAGACUAAUCCACCGGAAACUGCAGUAACCGCGGCGGCUCAGCCUGAAGUAACACCGGAAGAGCAUCACCCACCAAAAGUAACGGAAACACAAACGGCGUCAACAGAGAAAAAAGAGACGUCGCAGAAGGAAGAAGCAUCUGAAGAGGACAAGAGAAUUCCACAGAAUCUUGGCUCUUUCAAAGAAGAGAGCAGCAAGCUCUCCGAUCUCUCCGAUUCCGAGAAGAAAUCUCUUGAUGAAUUGAAACAUCUUGUGCGAGAUGCUCUAGACAAUCACCAAUUCGGUUCAGUUCCUAAACCGGAAGAUGGCAGCAACGCACCUGAAGAAGUCACGAUCUGGGGAGUUCCUCUCCUCAAAGACGACAGAAGCGACGUCGUUUUACUGAAGUUCCUACGCGCUAGGGACUUCAAGGUGAAAGAUUCGCUGGCAAUGCUCAAGAACACAGUCAAGUGGAGAAGGGAGUUCAAGAUCGACGAGUUGGUCGAUGAAGACCUUGUGGAUGAUCUAGACAAGGUGGUGUUCAUGCAUGGGCACGACCGAGAAGGACACCCGGUGUGUUACAAUGUCUAUGGUGAGUUUCAGAACAAGGAGCUUUACAACAAAACGUUCUCUGAUGAGGAAAAGAGGAAACAUUUCUUGAGGACGAGGAUUCAGUUCUUGGAGAGGAGUAUAAGGAAGCUAGACUUCAGCUCCGGUGGAGUUUCCACCAUUUUUCAGAUUAACGAUAUGAAGAACUCUCCGGGACUGGGGAAGAAAGAGCUGAGAUCGGCGACCAAGCAAGCCGUGCAGUUGCUUCAGGACAAUUACCCUGAGUUUGUCUUCAAACAGGCCUUCAUCAAUGUUCCCUGGUGGUACCUUGUGUUUUACACUGUGAUUGGUCCGUUCAUGACACCAAGAUCAAAGAGCAAGUUGGUGUUUGCUGGUCCGUCAAGAUCAGCCGAAACUCUUUUCAAAUACAUAUCGCCCGAACAAGUCCCGGUACAAUAUGGAGGAUUGAGUGUAGAUCCUUGUGACUGCAAUCCAGACUUCUCUUUGGAAGAUCCAGCCUCAGAGGUCAUUGUUAAGCCUGGAACAAAGCAAACUGUUGAGAUCAUAAUCUAUGAGAAAUGUGAGAUUGUGUGGGAGAUAAGGGUAAUUGGAUGGGAGGUGCGCUACAAGGCAGAGUUUGUGCCUGAAGAGAAAGAUGCUUAUACGGUGGUUGUACAGAAACCGAGGAAGAUGAAACCAUUCGAUGAACCGGUGUUAACCCAGAGCUUCAAAGUGAAUGAGCUUGGCAAGGUUUUACUCACUGUAGACAACCCAACCUCUAAGAAGAAGAAGCUCGUUUACAGGUUCAAUGUCAAACCUCUCUGAUGUGAGAUGUCUUCUGUGCGUUUUUGUAUAUGUGAGUGUUUGGUUUAUCAUAUCAUAUCAUUUUGUAUUUGUGGCUUACACUUACACGAUGGAGGUUCUGCAUCUUUUGCUCAGGUGUCUGAAGAUUGGAGUGGGUGGAAGAAGUUGCAAUGGUCCUGCUUACCCAAGCUGUUGCAUCAUUCAAAUGCCAAUUAUGAAUCUGGAAAUUAUUUUCAAAAUGAAUGCUAAUUUCAACAGUAAACAGGUGUUUUAUUCAUUUUAAAAAACAUCCACCUACUAAUUUUAUCAUUUAUAUAUGGACAACUAAAAGUAUCUAAUCUAUGAGUGGUAUUGAUGGAUCAACAACCACAUCUAUUUUAAUUCAAAUCUUAGCUUAAAAUUAUUCUUUUU